rnacentral:rRNA from 1 species
ACGUAAUAGAUACCCUGGUAGUCCACGGCCCUAAACGAUGUCUACUAGUUGUUGGUGGAGUAAAAUCCAUGAGUAAACGCAGCUAAACGCGUGAAGUAGACCGCCUGGGGAGUACGGUCGCAAGAUUAAAAACUCAAAGGAAUUGACGGGGGCCCGCACAAGCGGUGGAUUAUGUGGAUUAAAUUCGAUGCAACGCGAAAAACCUUACCUGGCCUUGACAUGCCACUAACGAAGCAGAGAUGCAUUAGGUGCCCGUAAGGGAAAGUGGACACAGGUGCUGCAUGGCUGUCGUCAGCUCGUGUCGUGAGAUGUUGGGUUAAGUCCCGCAACGAGCGCAACCCUUGCCAUUAAUUGCCAUCAUUUAGUUGGGCACUUUAAUGGGACUGCCGGUGACAAACCGGAGGAAGGUGGGGAUGACGUCAAGUCCUCAUGGCCCUUAUGGCCAGGGCUUCACACGUAAUACAAUGGUCGGUACAGAGAGUUGCCAACCCGCGAGGGGAGCUAAUCUCAGAAAGCCGAUCGUAGUCCGGAUUGUUCUCUGC